GACGAACGCUGGCGGCGUGCUUAACACAUGCAAGUCGAACGGAAAGGCCCUGCUUUUGUGGGGUGCUCGAGUGGCGAACGGGUGAGUAACACGUGAGUAACCUGCCCUUGACUUUGGGAUAACUUCAGGAAACUGGGGCUAAUACCGGAUAUGAGCUCCUGCUGCAUGGUGGGGGUUGGAAAGUUUCGGCGGUUGGGGAUGGACUCGCGGGUUAUCAGCUUGUUUGUGGGGUUGUGGCUUACCAAGGGUUUGACGGGUAGCCGGCCUGAGAGGGUGACCGGCCACAUUGGGACUGAGAUACGGCCCAGAAUCCUACGGGAGGCAGCAGUGGAGAAUAUUGCACAAUGGGCGGAAGCCUGAUGCAGCAACGCCGCGUGCGGGAUGACGGCCUUCGGGUUGUAAACCGCUUUCGCCUGUGACGAAGCGUGAGUGACGGUAAUGGGUAAAGAAGCACCGGCUAACUACGUG
rnacentral:rRNA from 1 species